CUAGAGCACUGGGAUGAACUAUAAAUUCAGCCUGCGAAUCUCAAGACUUUUCAUCUAGAAUGCAAAUCUAUAGAUAGUCAGACAGCAGAAAAUUUUGUAUUUUAAAAAUCAACCGUGGUGCUUAACAGACAACCAAAGUCUGAGAAUAUCAUUAUGUUUUAAUAGUAGAAGAGCUUGGGAAGAAGGCUGAAUAUUCCAACUUCUUUUCUACAGCAUACUGGUUAAUUUGAAGUUGGCCUGUAAAGGGGAAAAAAUAAGAAUUGCCUGUGUUAACCAGUGGGGUUGCUGGUCCAUAGACGAGUUGCAUAACAUGGAUUUUAUAAGUACUUCCCGAAGGGAAUCCUCACAGAAACCAGAGCAUCACCUGCUGGUAUCCUCCACCGUCACAUUAUAUUAAUAGGUACUCUUCAAGGAACCUGCUACUGUUGGGGUGUAAGAGGGAUUCCAGAGUAACAAGUCACAUGUUUUGGAGGAACAUGGAAUCUACCAUCUACUAACAAGCUCUGGGAAAGCAUAUGAGAGAUGACCGUAAGUACAUUUCUAUAAACACUGAAGUGUAUUUGCUCUGCGUCUUGCUCUGUGCACAACUUUAUUUUUAAUAUUUAACUUCCUUAUUACCAGAAUUGUAGGAUCAUUACAACAAUGUAUUCAAAUCUCAAUACCAGACACCUCAGUGUGAUCAUAAAUGUAAAUGAUUUUUGUGUAAUAUAUCUAUUAAGGGAUAUUUUGUAGAUCAGUCUGUUCCAGCCCCCCAUCUCAAUUUGUAUAGUGCGGGUGCUGAGAGCCAUUGAACAAACUGUAACCCUUGUAUAUGUGUGACGUUUCACUCCAUAUCUUUAUGAAAAUAUGCUUAUGAUAUACCUUACGCAAGAUGGCUCAUGAGAUAUCAUUGGGAAGGUUAUGAUUUAUUGAAUGAUUAUCCAAUUUGUAUGCCUGUAUCAUUUCUGUAUCUGAAGUUAGGAAUAUUGACUAUGUAUCUGUACUUCAAAUGUGUUACUUUGGGUGUCACCCCCAACCAGCCCUUUAGGGACAACAAUGGAAAAGCCAGACAGGGCGAAUGGCCCAUUAGUAAAGACAAUGGACUGUGAAAGAGCUUGGUCUUCCUGUGGACGCUCCAGACAGCCUACGGGUAAUGGCUGCCACAACCCUGCAGAGACAUGGGUCUGAAUCACCUGGUACUGGACCCACCCCUAAGUAAGCCAGUGUUCUUCUACUGGGAGACAAAGGAUUCCCAUCAUACACAAGAGGAGUAUGACAAAGGGUUCCCAUCAUACAUAAGGCAGGGGAGUGACAUCGUGGUUCUCCUCUGCCUCCCCACCCAAAGAGACACUGAAAAACCACUUGGAAGCAAGAACUGAACUGGGCGGAGAAGGGUUGAGCCAAGCUGGAAGGACGUCUAGCUUGUGAGUAAUGAUAUCUGAGGUCUCAAGCUGCAGACCAGUGAAGCUACCUUUCAAGAUUUUCUGUAAUCUGCCUUUAACAAUAUCUAGGGUGAGAAAUUACUAUUUGUAACCAAUUUCUUUAGUGAAACUAACUUAGUUUGCAUGUUUGCUUUUAUUUG